GAUAAAUUUAAAAAAAUUAGGCUUUUAAUGGUAAAUUGCCCACCUAAUCCUACCAUCUGUCCACUAAACCAUUACUUCCCAUGAACGGUGCCUCAGUAUUGGAAUUUCCUAAGGCCUAAAAAUAGGCGCUUAAACUCUUUAGAAGAAACAAAUAGUAAUUUUCCUAAGGAAGCUAAAAUAAAAUGAAACCUUAAAUUCUUAGCUUCUUCUUACCUUUCUUCUUUGUUAUUGCAACGCCAAAUGUCCCUUUGCAAGGGAACUGGUAUUCAUCAAACAGUGUGCGUGGGUCAUUUUCUUCCCCCAGUUCCUCUAAUCUCUGAGUUCAUCGGAGAUCCUGUAACAAAUCCUCUUUCUUCUCCAGACUCAUCCUAUCAAAACACCGCCUUCACCUCUUCUAACUUCUUCCCCUUUGGUCCUUCAGAACGAUGGGUUCAACCUCCGGCGGAGUUUCUUCCAUCCAGAAGGUCAGGGAGUCGCAUCAUCUCCCCCAUGCAGCCACCGCAUGCGCCGCUUCGUUUACUUCACGCGGUAUUUUUUUAAUGACAGUCAUUAAAUCCCUUUCGACUAUUAUUUCGCUAAAUCUCAUUUUUUCUGCAAAGACAACCCCUUAGAGAAAUACAUAUGCUUCUGCAGUUGUCGGAUCUCGAACAUUUUUGACCGGGUAAACACAUGAACCCAUUAUGAGUCCCAUGCUGUUUCUGAUAAUUAUUCCAGUGAUUACUUUGUUGUUUUGUUGUUGAAACACAGUAUCAAAAUUUACUUUAACUUGGUCAUUUGUUGGGGGUUCCCAGUGGGCUUCCUUUCUAUUGUGCUUGUUUUCUAGUGCUUCGUUUAGUAUCCUUAGUUCUGUAAAAUAUGAUUUGAUAAAGCCCACUAUGUCAUAUAUCCUCUGUCGAAUACCUUCAUGGAAAAAAUUGUUCCUAUUAUGCCAUAUUCCCUAGAAUGAAACUGUUAGACAUGUACAUUGAUACAUGAUAUUGAUGUUAAAAGUCUCAGCUAACCAAUGUUUCCAUUCUUGAUUUUCAUGUAUGGGCGCGGAUAUCACUUCCAUCUGUUGGAGAACUUGUUUCGCAAGAUUACAGUAUAAAAAGAUAUGGUUGACCAAUUCAUCUUCUUCACCACAUAAUGGACAUAGAGCAUCAAGCCUUAGCCUACGGGCAUUUAGGUUACUUAGUGUAGGCAAAUAAUUGUUUGUAAUUCUCCAUAAGUUGAUUCGUACCUUACUGGGAACUUUUAGGCUCCAUAAUUUUGAAUAAUUUUUUUUUGUUAGAUUUGGAGGUAUUUUGUUUUUCAUAUCCUAGCAUGUUUUGUUCCUCUGUAAUACACCACUUGUAACCACUUUUAGCUGUAUAUUCCCUCGACUUGUCUCCUCUUAA